rnacentral:rRNA from 1 species
UGAGGAAUCUUGCGCAAUGGGGGAAACCCUGACGCAGCAACGCCGCGUGAGUGAGGAAGGCCUUCGGGUCGUAAAGCUCUGUCAGAUGGGAAGAAACGACUGUAAGCCAAUACCUUGCAGUCUUGACGGUACCAUCAGAGGAAGCACCGGCUAACUCCGUGCCAGCAGCCGCGGUAAUACGGGGGGUGCAAGCGUUGUUCGGAAUCAUUGGGCGUAAAGCGCGCGCAGGCGGCUUGGUAAGUCAGAUGUGAAAGCCCUGGGCUUAACCCAGGAAGUGCAUUUGAAACUGCCUCGCUAGAGUUCGGGAGAGGAAAGUGGAAUUCCUGGUGUAGAGGUGAAAUUCGUAGAUAUCAGGAGGAACACCGGUGGCGAAGGCGACUUUCUGGCCCGAUACUGACGCUCAGGCGCGAAAGCGUGGGGAGCAAACA